rnacentral:lncRNA from 1 species
UUAUAGUUUUGCAGGCUGUACCGACAACAUAGUGGCUUCUGCUUCUGGGGAGGCUUCAGGAAACUUACAGUCAUGGAGGAAGGAGAAGGAGAAACAGGCAUAUCUUACAUGACCAAAGCAGGAGCAUGAAAGGUUGGGGUAAGGGGAAAGAUGUCACUCUCUUUCUUUGUCUAAGUAU